GGCGAACGCUGGCGGCGUGCUUAACACAUGCAAGUCGAACGGAAAGGCCUGCUUUCCCUUGUGGAUUGCGGGUACUCGAGUGGCGAACGGGUGAGUAACACGUGAGUGAUCUGCCCCCAACUUGGGUAUAAGCCUGGGAAACUGGGUCUAAUUCCCGAUAGGACUGCAGGGUGGUGCCUGUGGUGGAAAACGAUUUUCUAGUGGUUGGGGAUGAGCUCGCGGCCUAUCGGCUUGUUGGUGGGGUAAUGGCCUACCAAGGCGGCGACGGGUAGCCGGCCUGAGAGGGUGGACGGCCACAUUGGGACUGAGAUACGGCCCAGACUCCUACGGGAGGCAGCAGUGGGGAAUAUUGCACAAUGGGCGGAAGCCUGAUGCAGCGACGCCGCGUGGGGGAUGACGGCCUUCGGGUUGUAAACUCCUUUCGACCGCGAGGAAGCCACCUGGUUGGAAGGGUGGUGACGGUAGUGGUAGAAGAAGCACCGGCUAACUACGUG
rnacentral:rRNA from 1 species